rnacentral:lncRNA from 1 species
AGUACACUGAAAUUCAAAGUCAUGCUCAUAACUGUUAAUGAAAGCAGAUUCAAAGCAACACCACCACCACUGAAGUAUUUUUAGUUAUAUAAGAUUGGAACUACCAAGCAUGUGGCUCCUGGUCAGUGUAAUUCUAAUCUCACGGAUAUCCUCUGUUGGGGGAGAAGAAGAAGGAUGGUCACCAACACCAAAGUGUCUCAGACUGUGUUUCUUUCCUUUUGUGGAAAAUGGUCAUUCUGAAUCUUCAGGACAAACACAUCUGGAAGGUGAUACUGUACAAAUUAUUUGCAACACAGGAUACAGACUUCAAAACAAUGAGAACAACAUUUCAUGUGUAGAACGGGGCUGGUCCACUCCUCCCAAAUGCAGGUCCACU